rnacentral:rRNA from 1 species
CCUACGGGUGGCAGCAGUGGGGAAUAUUGCACAAUGGGGGAAACCCUGAUGCAGCGACGCCGCGUGAGUGAAGAAGUAUUUCGGUAUGUAAAGCUCUAUCAGCAGGGAAGAAGAAAGACGGUACCUGACUAAGAAGCCCCGGCUAACUGCGUGCCAGCAGCCGCGGUAAUACGUAGGGGGCAAGCGUUAUCCGGAUUUACUGGGUGUAAAGGGAGCGUAGACGGCUGUGCAAGGCUGAAGUGAAAGUCCAGGGCUCAACCCUGGGACUGCGAUGGAAACUGUGGGGCUUGAGUGCUGGAGAGGUAAGUGGAAUUCCUAGUGUAGCGGUGAAAUGCGUAGAUAUUAGGAGGAACACCAGUGGCGAAGGCGGCUUACUGGACCGUAACUGACGUUGAGGCUCGAAAGCGUGGGGAGCAAACAGGAUUAGAUACCCGAGUAGUC